rnacentral:rRNA from 1 species
UAGGGAAUCUUCCACAAUGGACGCAAGUCUGAUGGAGCAACGCCGCGUGAGUGAAGAAGGUUUUCGGAUCGUAAAGCUCUGUUGUUGGUGAAGAAGGAUAGAGGCAGUAACUGGUCUUUAUUUGACGGUAAUCAACCAGAAAGUCACGGCUAACUACGUGCCAGCAGCCGCGGUAAUACGUAGGUGGCAAGCGUUGUCCGGAUUUAUUGGGCGUAAAGCGAGCGCAGGCGGAAUGAUAAGUCUGAUGUGAAAGCCCACGGCUCAACCGUGGAACUGCAUCGGAAACUGUCAUUCUUGAGUGCAGAAGAGGAGAGUGGAAUUCCAUGUGUAGCGGAGGAAUGCGUAGAUAUAUGGAAGAACACAAGUGGCGAAGGCGGCUCUCUGGUCUGCAACUGACGCUGAGGCUCGAAAGCAUGGGUAGCGAACAGG